rnacentral:rRNA from 1 species
GUGGGGAAUAUUGGACAAUGGGCGCAAGCCUGAUCCAGCCAUGCCGCGUGAGUGAUGAAGGCCCUAGGGUUGUAAAGCUCUUUUGGCGGGGACGAUGAUGACGGUACCCGCAGAAUAAGCCCCGGCUAACUUCGUGCCAGCAGCCGCGGUAAGACGAAGGGGGCUAGCGUUGUUCGGAAUUACUGGGCGUAAAGCGAGUGUAGGUGGUUGUCAUAGUCAGGUGUGAAAGCCUUGAGCUCAACUCAAGAAAUGCACUUGAUACUGGGCGACUAGAGGACCGGAGAGGAUAGUGGAAUUCCCAGUGUAGUGGUGAAAUACGUAGAGAUUGGGAAGAACACCAGUGGCGAAGGCGGCUAUCUGGACGGUUACUGACACUAAGGUGCGAAAGCGUGGGGAGCAAACAGGAUUAGAAACCCCAGUAGUCC